AAUGAACGCUGGCGGCAUGCCUAACACAUGCAAGUCGAACGAAGCCUUCGGGCUUAGUGGCGCACGGGUGCGUAACGCGUGGGAAUCUGCCCUUGGGUUCGGAAUAACAGUUAGAAAUGACUAGCUAAAUACCGAAUGAUGUCGUAAGACCAAAGAUUUAUCGCCCAGGGAUGAGACCCGCGUAGGAUUAGGUAGUUGGUGUGGUAAAGGCGCACCAAGCCGACGAUCCUUAGCUGGCUGAGAGGAUGAUCAGCACACUGGGAC
rnacentral:rRNA from 1 species